AAAGCAUGAGGAGUUGCAGCUUGAGUCUAAGGACAAAGAUGCACUUAUUGAGCUACUUGAAAACCGAGUGACAAAGAGACAGAGAGAGAUGAAGGUUUCAUCUUCUAGCAUGCCUCAACCUUCCAUUGCUUGGAAGAAGAUUGUUGACCAGCUUGUCCUCGAGAAGACUCAGAUGAAGGCUUCUUUUGAGACCGAGAUCCAACGCAUUCGAAGGAAGUACGCGCCUAAAGCCAG
rnacentral:lncRNA from 1 species